CCGAUGUUGCUGUUUUCAAAAUUGUCUCUCUUUUUCAAAAUGUCAAAUUAUGUGUCUUGUGAUUUCAAAUGCUUUGGUUUCUUUAUUAAAAAUAUAUGCCUAACACCUGGUUUUGUUUUCAAACCUCUUGUCUAUUUUCAAAAAAUUCUAAAACUAUUUUAUAUUCUCAAUAGAAGCCACAAGUCCUAGAACGUUAUCUAGAACAAAACUCAAAAAGACUCUAGAAUUAAGGGUGAAAGGUAAAUAUUUCCAUUGGUCAGUUUUUCAGAAUCAUUGUUAUCAUCAUCAUUUCUAAUACCGAUAUAUUUCCCAUUCAAUUGAAACCAAUACCCCAAAA
rnacentral:lncRNA from 1 species